UGCCAAGAAUAUUUCCUGAAUCAGUGGUUCACAAACCUCUCAUUGGGGACCCCCAGUUGUUCCAUGUAUUUGAUCAAUUCCAGAGCUAGCACACCUGAUUCAACUUGUGUACUAAUCAUCAAGUUGAAUCAGGUGAGUAUGUGAAUCAGGUGAGCUAGUUCAGGGCUACAACAACAUUGUGACAUGUCUGGGGGUCCCAGAGGAGAAGUUUGAGAACGGCUCUCCUAAAUACUCUUCAUAGGAAUCAGUUAGUAUGUGCAGUACUGAGAAGUGAUCUAGACUCAUAUCAGUGAAUAGGAGUGGAUCCUGUUUGGUACAUUAGGAACACUGCGCCAUACUCACCUUUUUAGCUCUGGAAGCAAAAUGCAGAGGAUGCUUCAACAGAAACUGAGCUGCAUUCUUGCUUCUGUAAAGAGAGGGAGCCCUGCUUGCCUGUUCUGUAUCAGCAUCAGACAAGGCAGGCCUUUUGUAUGAGGAAGGGAAGUGGGGAGAGACCCCACCAAAACACAAGCCCAGCAUAGAGCCACAUUACCUGCUCCACUGGCUAAAUAGAUCAAUCCAUUUCUGCUCCCACCAUACAAUUAUGUUGUUGACAAUUACAAGUAAAAAG
rnacentral:lncRNA from 1 species